ACCCUCUCAGGGUCGCACCUGGAGAAUUUCCAUUACUCUACGAGUCUCGACUAUGGGAGGAAGAGUCAAGCAGAGGCCUUCCCAUUCCAUUCCUAGCUUGGGCAGUGGCUAACGAGUGGAAGGCAGUCUGCUUCAAGU